GUAGUCCAUGCCGUAAACGAUGAACACUAGGUUUUGGGCUCGUCAACGGUCCAGAGCCGCAGCUAACGCGUUAAGUGUUCCGCCUGGGGAAUACGGUCGCAAGACUGAAACUCAAAGGAAUUGACGGGGGCCCGCACAAGCGGUGGAGCAUGUGGUUUAAUUCGACGCAACGCGCAGAACCUUACCAGGACUUGACAUGGAAGUGACCGGACGAGAGAUCGUUCUUCUCCCGCAAGGGAGCACUUCACACAGGUGCUGCAUGGCUGUCGUCAGCUCGUGUCGUGAGAUGUUGGGUUAAGUCCCGCAACGAGCGCAACCCUCGUUUCUAGUUGCCAUCAUUCAGUUGGGCACUCUAGAGAGACUGCCGCGAAUAACGCGGA
rnacentral:rRNA from 1 species